GCAAACUUUGCUUGACACAGAAGCAAGCAAACUUUGUUUGAGUUUUCACUUCAUCGCUGUGAAGGAUCGGAGAGACACAAAAGAUGAGAAGUCACAUGUUCCUGCUGUUAAUGGAAGUUACGUAUCCAACUUGAAAUCUUCCAGAAAAAUCACAUGAAAAUACAAAUGUUUUGAUAGAGUUACUCUAGCUAACAGAGACAACUAAGAUGGUGGUGGAAACUGAAGAGAACAUAUCAUUUGAUCACCUUCAACGACUCGUGCCAUUUGGAAGACAAUUCAGCGGUGACCGUGUUAGGGAUCACCCAAAAACUAAACAUCCUCGAGCGUCGUUCGUAGGUAAAAUUCUCUCACCUCGCAAGUUCUGAACCAAGGACAAAACUUAGUUAACCUCGCAACUUGUUAUGGAAAAUAUUCUAGCAAUAAAACUCUUACCCUCGCAUCCUCUUUGUUACUUUAGAUACUCGAAGUUAGCAACUUGUAGCUGAUGACUAAACUCCAGCCGAGCUAAC
rnacentral:lncRNA from 1 species